GACGAACGCUGGCGGCGUGCUUAACACAUGCAAGUCGAACGGAAAGGCCCUGCUUUUGUGGGGUGCUCGAGUGGCGAACGGGUGAGUAACACGUGAGUAACCUGCCCUUGACUUUGGGAUAACUUCAGGAAACUGGGGCUAAUACCGGAUAGGAGCUCCUGCUGCAUGGUGGGGGUUGGAAAGUUUCGGCGGUUGGGGAUGGACUCGCGGCUUAUCAGCUUGUUGGUGGGGUAGUGGCUUACCAAGGCUUUGACGGGUAGCCGGCCUGAGAGGGUGACCGGCCACAUGGGGACGGAGAUACGGCCCAGACUCCUACGGGAGGCAGCAGUGGGAAAUAUUGCACAAUGGGCGGAGGCCUGAUGCAGCAACGCCGGGUGGGGGAUGACGGCCUUCGGGUUGUAAACCGCUUUCGCCUGUGACGAGGCGUGAGUGACGGUAAUGGGUAAAGAAGCACCGGCUAACUACGU
rnacentral:rRNA from 1 species